ensembl:lncRNA
UUUAGAGUGAUCACUUCUAAAUAUAAGUUUAUAUUUUAGUCAGAUUUUGUUGUCAUAAACUCAUUGGGCAUUACAAUAGUAAAAUAAAAAGGAGAAGUUAAAUGAAUAAAUUGAUUUCAUCUAGAAAAAUGAGCAAGAAAAUCAAAAAAGCCUACCUUGUGGAUAAUGUCUGCUCCUGAUUGUGCACUUCUGUAGGGCUCCUGGGGUACAUUCUGGCAGCUGCCUCAGUCCCUUUUAAAUGCUCUUCUCCAACUGUUACAAAUCUCUGACCACCUCCUCUCAGCAGAUGAUGCAGAGUGAAACUUCUUUCUUUCACUAUUCCAUCUCUUCAGUUCUUGUACUGAAUGGGAAGAGGAGGUAACAAAUGUGGACAGAAUAAAGCCAGUUUGUUUUCAGUUCCCAGAAAUGGACAUUUAGAAGGGUACUUACGGGAAAAUGCACCAUCAUUGGAAAGGCAUUUUAUAAAGUCUAGCCUUGGAAAACUAUACCUGAUUUCACACAACCUAGAAACUUAAAAGCAGCACUGAAUGGUUUCACUUUAACCAGCAGCUGGAAAAUACUCUCCACCCUUCCUAUAAAUUAGAUGCCUCACUUUACAAUAACUUGCAGAAGCUUUUUAAUGCCCAGCUCAGUUUUUGUUUUGUUUUAUAGUUCCAUUUCACUAAAUGAACCAUUGUUUGUGCACUGCAUUCCUGUAAAUUCCAGAUUGGGAUUGGGUUGAUUUUUUUAAUUUCUUAUUUUUUAACUCACUGAAUUCCAUUAGUGAGUUUCCUGGCAGUAAGUGGAACUUCUCUGACCAUGAUAUAACAGUGAGACUUGGGGAAUUUCACACCUACCCCACACUUCGUGACUCUACAUGGAGAUAAAGUCUGACAUACGUAGUUUCUUUUCCUUCUAUCUUACCCCUGACCUUUUCCUUGCUAUAUGCCCAGUUCAGUAGGUAGUAUUGGGCUUUGUAGCAUGGAAGAAAGACUUGUAACCCUUAGGCCAGCUGCUUAAUUUGGUCGGUGGAGGGAUUCAAGACCCCAGAGAACAUCUUCUAAAUAGUGGCAAGGUGUGGUAUUACACAGUACUCAUAAUUUCAAACUUGGUCUCCAGGUUGCAUCCCAAAAUGCUAUCUUUCAUGUAGGACUAAUGUGUUUGUCAAUUGUUAGGCUUGGGGGAUCUUGCAAGUUGAAAUUCAUGGCUAUGCUUCAUAUUCCUGUUAUAUAACUGAGUUGAAAAAGUCAGUCAUGUAGAUUUUAGUUUACUAAAGGCACAGGAUUUUGCAUCACUACCUCACUGGCCUCCGUAGUUUGACAGAAAAACUUACAAAGUCUAGCACCAUUGCUGUGUGUAUUUUCCACUGGAUACUAAAAGUAGCAAAAAAUGUAUUUGUAAAUUAUGUGAUGCUGGAUGAAAAUGAUAAUGUCAUAUGACAAAACUUAGUAACAUCUUUACUAAAUGUAGCUAUCUUGGUUUAUUAUACAAAUUUGUGAUGGAGUGAAGUUAAGAGGAACACCAGAACUUGAAUAAACCCUGAAAAAUUGAAGCAAAUGCUAACAAAUAUAUCAGCAGUAAUUUAAAUAUAAACAUACAACAAAGUCAUAUGGAAAUUAAUUAUUAAAUGUAUCACCAGUGAAUUCUGCUGCCAUCUGUUUCCUGUGAUACACCACUGAGAUUUCCAGCAGGUAAAAUUAUUUUGAUUCAGUCAUUUCAUUUAUCAUUCACUUUCAUCUGAAUUGUAUACUAGGAGGCUGCAACUUUUGAAACUGUUUCGAGUCUGGUAGACAUGAUUGACCGGUCCAUCCUGAAAUGAAGCUUAAUCACUUGUCUAAUAGUUCACUGGAAUUAUUAUCAUGCCUAUAGGACAGGAUCUUACUGAUGAACAGUCAGAGCUAGAGAUCAUAGUCUUCUGCACUGUCCGUCAUAGGAAACUUACUUUGUUUUCAAGUUCCCCAUAAAGUGGAAAACACGAGAACUAAGAACUCCUGAGAAGGAAAAAAAACCCCAAAAAACUCUUUUGCCAAUGAUCAUCUGGGAAGCAACUGUCUCUUAAAACCCACAUUAAUAUGACAUUCUUGGGGACCUUCCAAAAGUCAAUAGAAGGCCUCUGUACAUCCUUUAAUAUUUACAGAUAAAACUUUUUUUGCCAAUAUUUCUUCUUUUUUCAAUAAAUGUAGACACAUUCUAAAUCAAAAAAUCAGUUGAGAGCUUCAGUGACAUCUGAUUCUGAAAACUAGAUCAGCUGUACCCUCAUAGUGAAAUAAAUGAGUAGUCUUAAACAUGAAUGAGUUGUUAGUGACUGGAUUCCUAAAAUGAGAUUAAUCUCUGUAAACAUAUUGGUCUAAAAUUCAGUCAUGGAGUAUGUCUUAAUUAGAAAACGAUGGUAACAAUAGGAAUGAAUCUCUAGAACCAAAACAAGUAAUUCUGAGUGAAGAUCUACACUAUGCAAAUUUUGAGGGGUUAUUCCCGAUUUACUGUAAUCUCAUUGUCAAAUAAUGAUCAAAGAAGUAUUCAGUUGUGAUCUUGGAAUGCAUCUUCUGCUUUACUUUCUUCUUAAGGAAUUCAGUUCACAGGCUGCAAGAUGACUCUGAGAUGCAGAUGAAGGCAUUGUCCUCACUUACAAUCAGGAUAUCUGUUUUAGAAACACACUCCUGACCAAAAACAGUUACAUGCCCUUACUCUUAGUUAUCUGAGGCUUCCUUAAUAAUCAGUGAAGGUAAACUGGCAACUCCAGAACGUGAUUUAUUGGCACUUAGGCACUCUCUCAGGAUUGAUGUCUUGAAAUGUUUAUUUGUUUAUUGAUAUAAAAGGAAUCUACAAUGAGUAGCUCAGAUGAUGUCUAACAGCUAAAAUUGUAGCUUUGGGCUAGGAUCCAGCCUUACUGUGUAUAAAUGGUAUCAGUCUGCUUAACAUAUCUUAUUUAGUUGCCCCCCAAAAGAUCACCUUAACAGUUAAAAUAAACCUAUUAUUCUCAAAUUGAUCAUCAUUUUCUUUGAUCAAUCUCAGCUGUCAAGAGUUUGAGGGUUUUAGCCAAAGCCAUCUCCUAAUGGAUCUAUUCAAAAGCUGGUGUUUAAAGAAAUCAUUGCUGAGUGGUUCUGAAACACAUUUAUAAUAUUCAGUAUAUAGACUAAGGAGUUUAGCUUAGAAUUUUUUUUAGCCUAUGGGUUCGUAUAUCUGAAAUGAAUUUUGUAUACAAGAAAGUAUAUUUUUAUGGAGUUAUUGCUACUUCAUUUUCUUAAUCUUCAUAUUUCUCAUGUAAGGUUUAGUUUGUUUUUCUCCAGGAUUUCUCUUUUAAGUUUAUAAAUUGUUCUGGGGAUUAAAUAACUAAAAAGCUAGUUGUGUAGGGAUUUUGUUAUGAGCAAUUUCCUGGAUGAAAGAUGGAUUUAUUUUGUGUAAUAUUUACCAUCUACAAGUUAGCAGUUACAGAAGCAGUUUUCUAUGCUGCUUCUCUAGGCAAUGAAGAGAGCGGGACUUAGGGUAAGUCAUUUCAUUGUGCAAGAGGUGGAAUAAAUUAACCUAUAAGGGACUCUGUCUUCUUAACAGAAUAAAACAGAUGAGGGAAGACCUCUGGAGGUCAUCUGGUCCAAGUCCCUGCUCAAAGUAGGAUCAGCCUUAGGGCAGGUUUCACAGGGGUGCGUUUGGCUGAGUUUUUAAUACCUCCAUUAUGAAAAGAUACAGCCUCUGUGGACACAUAUUUUUUUUUUUUUUUAUCCUCAUUGUGAAUGUUUUUUUCUUACUAGUCAGAAUUUCCUUUAUUGCAAUACGUGUCCAUUGCCAACUGCCCUUUCACUCUGCACCUCUAAAAGGAAUUUGACUCUAUCUUCUCUAUACUCUCUCUUUAAGAGGUUGUAGAUCUCCCUUUAGUUUGCUUUCUUUCAGGAUUACAAACCCAGUUCUCUCAGUCACUACUCAUAUAUCUUGUGCUCCAGGCCCCUAAUCAUCUUGGUGACCCUUUUGCUGAACUUGCUCCAAGUUUGGUAAAUGAUGUAUGACAGUACAUAAAAAUGACAAAAUGACAGUACAAAAAAAAUGACAGUAUCAUCUUUUGUGCUGGAAAGCUCAAAACUGAACAAAGUACUCCAGGUGGGUUCUCACAAGUGCUGAAUAAAGGGGAAUAAUCAUUUCUCUAGACCUACUUGCCAC